rnacentral:rRNA from 1 species
AUUGAACGCUGGCGGCAUGCCUUACACAUGCAAGUCGAACGGCAGCAUAGAGAGCUUGCUCUCUGAUGGCGAGUGGCGAACGGGUGAGUAAAGCAUCGGAACGUACCGUGUAGUGGGGGAUAACGUAGCGAAAGUUACGCUAAUACCGCAUACGCACUGAGGUGGAAAGCAGGGGAUCGCAAGACCUUGCGCUAUACGAGCGGCCGGUGUCAGAUUAGCUAGUUGGUAGGGUAAAGGCCUACCAAGGCGACGAUCUGUAGCGGGUCUGAGAGGAUGAUCCGCCACCCUGGGACUGAGACACGGCCCAGACUCCUACGGGAGGCAGCAGUGGGGAAUUUUGGACAAUGGGGGCAACCCUGAUCCAGCCAUACCGCGUGAGUGAAGAAGGCCUUCGGGUUGUAAAGCUCUUUCGGCCGGGAAGAAAUCGCACAGGCUAAUACUCUGUGUGGAUGACGGUACCGGCAUAAGAAGCACCGGCUAACUACGUGCCAGCCGCCGCAGUAA